ACCUCAGCAGCCCCCGUGGAAAAUCGUUCCAACCUCCAAAAGGUUUAGAGGGAAUAGCAUAAGAGCCUAGUGGACUUUCCACUCUUAAAUCCCUUGUGCUGCCAGUAGCUUAUUUCCCCUGUUGCAUCUUUCAGGCAGGCUGCAGGUACAUAAAGGCAUGUUGGGAGUUCUAUAAGAAUGAUGUGUGGCUCUCUAGAUGGCUUGCUUCCUUUUUUAUUACUACCCAGUUUCCACUCUGCCAAGCAGUGGGCGAGAAGGCAUCAUUCUACUGCGCCAGCAGUAUGGUGCCUGCUCUCCUGAGGGGCAUAUACUUUGAACUGGCUCUGGCAGAGGAGGCCCAGAGAUCCUGGCUCCAGGCCUUACACCAUUAAGAUGGGCCUGGAUGCCUGAUUGGAUGGAAAACUUCAGGGAGAAAAAUUCCUGUUUAGGUGCCUAAUGGACACAGCUUUGGAGUGUUUGAGAGAGGACAUCCUUCCCACCCAGCCUCAUCUUUCAUGGCAAUAAGAACACUAAGCAGCAUUUGUUCAAUAGAAUUAUCCAUGACAAUGGAAAUGUUCUAUAGCUACACUGUUGAAAGCGACAGAAGCCGCUGGCCAUCUGUGGCUGUUGAACACUUGAGAUGUGGUUAGUUUGAUUGAGAGAUUGAAUUUUUAAUUCCAUUUAAUUUUAUUUCAUGUAAAUGUAAAUAACCACAUAUGGCUAGUGGCUAUAGUAUAGUAUAAAUAUACUUUGGAAUAAUUUUGUUAUGGCUUGCAGAUUGCUUGGUAAAAUAAAGAACAGACACAACACACACAUGCACGCACACUUAAUUCCAUUUAAUUUUAUUUCAUGUAAGUGUCAAUGGACACAUGUGGCUAGGCUGAACAUGGUGAUCACAAAUCGCUCUAAAAGACACGGCCUCAGAGCUCUCUUGCUGGGCUACUGACCACGUGACUGGAAUGGCCUGAAGGUGAUGUACCUGCAAAGCAGAGUCUAUUACAACGGCUUGGCUAGCAUAAUUGACUUCAGGAAGUGAUCCACCAGGGACAGAGUUGAGGGUCUGGGGAGCGAAAUAGGAAAGAUGAGAAAGUCAAUGCAAGGCAUAUUAUUGAGGGUAGGCACCUGGUGCCCAAUCUUGCAGGGACAGUCUAGGAACUGUGUAGAACGUUCUUUAAAGUUGUCGAGCGGACACUUUGAAGAAGGGAGUAUUUGUCCAGCAGCUCCUGUCUCCAUUGGUCAAAGACCCCUUAUUUAUGGGGUAUUCUCUUGCUUGCAUUUCUGGGUUUUCUGGAUUUGUUUGUGUGCUAAUACAGUUGAAUGGGUGUCUAUCAGCUCCCCAUGUGGCAGGGCAGAACAAUAGAGUAGAACCUGACCUAACCAAGGUGAGGGUUGCACCUUCCUGUUGCUGGUUGCUUCAGCAAGAGCUGGAGUUAAAAAGAUGGCUAAAAGGCUAUAAGAUGGGGCCUCAAAGAUGUCCAUGGACCAAGGGGAAGGCGCUAAAUAGCACAGAUAGGGGUGACAGAAAUAGGAACUAGAAGAGGCUAGGAAGCUCUGAGAAUGGAUUCUUUCAAAAGAAUUCAAAAUGGCCUAACUUUUGAUGCUGUCAGGGAGCUGUGGGCUACUUAGUGGCUAGCACUUUGGUAGUGCUUUCGUGAAUCAUGCAUGGCUCUGAAUUAACAAAGUCUUUCUUUCUCCCACUGUCCCAUCUCUUGCCAGUUGACUUCUUUGUGCCACCUGGAUGGAGUGAGCACAGGGAAACCAACAGUUCAGUGUAUUCCAAAUUUGAAUUGAUAUUAUUCAUUCAUCUAUAGAGAGCAUGGCACAGAGGUUAAGAGCAUUAACUCUGAAGCCAGAUUGCUGGGUCCAAAUCCUGGCUCUGCUACAUACUGGCUUUGUGGCCUCGAGCAAAUUAUUUAACCCUCAUUUCUUUCAUUGGGAAAUUGAGAUUGUAGAGCUUAUUUUAUAGAGUAAUGAUGAAAAUUAGCUGGGUUAACAUACAUGAACAUUUUAGAACACUUCCUGGCAGGUAGAAAGUACAAUAUGUAUGUUUGCUAUUAUUUGUUCAUUCAUUAAUUGACAAAGAAUUAUUCAGUGUCUGAUUCACACAAGGCAUUGCUUUCCUUAAUCAGUGUGCAUUUCUGGGUCUGACAGUGUCUCUGUCGUUCACGCAAGUCUUCUGAAUUUUUUUUAUGCUCUUAAUUCUCAGACUACCAUCCUCUCUUCUUUUUUCUUCUGUUUUCACUGAUCAAAAUUUAUUUUUCUUUUCUGGUUCCUCUUCUCUCACCAACAUUUAAAUACUGGGACAUUUCAGGACUCAGUGUUUGGCUAUAUUCUUUUUUUUAAAUAAUGAUUUUUAUUUUUUCCUUUAUAGCUGGUUUACAGUGGUCUGUCCAUUUUCUACUGUACAGCAAGGUGACCCAUUCACACAUACAUGUAUAUACUCUCUUUUCUCACAUUAUCAUGCUCCAUCACAAGUGACUAGAUACAGUUCCUAGUGCUAUACAGCAGGAUCUCAUUGCUUAUCCAUUCCAAAGGAAAUAAUUUGCGUCUAUUAAUCACAAAGUCCCAGUCCAUCCCACUCCCUCCCCCUCCCCUUGGCAACCACAAGUCUGUUCUCCAAGUCCAUGAAUUGCUUGUCAGUGGAAAGGUUCAUUUGUGCCAUAUAUUAGAGUCCAGAUAGAAGUGAUUUCAUAUGGUAUUUUUCUUUUUCUGACUUACUUCACUCAGUGUGAGAGUCUCUAGUUCCAUUGAUGUUGCUGCAAAUGGCAUUAUUUUGUUCUUAUUUAUGACUGAGUAAUAUUCCAUUGUGUAUAUAUGCCACAUUUUCUUAAUCCAAUCAUAUGUUGAUAGACAUUUAGUUUGUUUCCAUGUGUUGCUAUUGUGAAUAAUUUUGCAAUGAACACGCGGGUGCGGGUGUCUUUUUCGAGGAAACUUUUGUCCGGAUGUAUGCCCAAGAGUGGGAUUGCUGGGUCAUAUGGUAGUUCUAUGUAUAGAUUUCUAAGGUACCUCUAUACUGUUUUCCAUAGUAGUUGUAGCAAUUUACAUUGCCACCAACAGUUCAGGAGGGUUCCCUUUUCUCCACACCCCCUCCAGCAUUUGUUAUUUGUGGACUUAUUAAUGAUGGGCAUUAUGACUGGUGUGAGGUAGUACCUCAUAGCAGUUUUGAUUUGCAUUUCUCUAAGAAUCAGGGAUGUUGUGCAUUUUUUCAUGUGCUUGUUGGCCACCUGUAUAUCUUCCUAGGAGAAAUGUCUAUUCAGGUCUUUGGCCUUUUUUUUCCAUUGGGUGGUUGGCUUUUUUACUGUUGAGUUGUAUAAGUUGUUUAUAUAUUUGAGAGAUUAAGCCCUUGUCAGUUGCAUUGUUUGAAACUAUUAUCUCCCAUUCCAAAUGCUGUCUUUUUUUUUAUGGUUUCUUUUGCUGUGCAAAAUCCGGUCAGUGUGAUUAGAUCCCAUUGUUUAUUUUUGCUCUUAUUUCUGUUGCUUUGGGAGACCGACCUGAGAAAAUAUUUGUAAAGUUGAUAUCAGAGAAGGUUUUGCCUAUGUUCUCUUCUUGGAGUUUGAUGGUGUCUUCUCUUACAUUUAAAUAUUUAAGCCAUUUUGAGUUUAUUUUUGUGCAUGGUGUGACAAUGUGUUCAUUUCAUUGAUUUUCAUGAGGCUGUCCAGUUUUCCCAGCACCACUUGCUGAGAAGACUGUCUUUUUCCCAUUUAUGUUCUUGCCUCCUUUGUUGAAGAUUAAUUGACUGUAGGCACGUGGGUUUAUUUCUGGGUUCUCUAUUCUGUUCCAUUGGUCUAUAUGUCUGUUUUGGUACCAAUACCACACUGUCUUGAUUGUGGCUUUGUAAUUUUACCUGAAGUAUGGGAGAGUUAUACCUCAUGCUUAGUUUGUGUUCCUCAGGAUUGCUUUGGCAGUUCUAGGUCUUUCAUAGUUCCAUAUAAAUUUUUGGAUUGUUUGUUGUAGUUCUGUGCAAAAUGUCGUGGGUCAUUUUAUAGGGAUUGCAUUGAAUCUGUAGAUUGCUUUGGGUAUGCUUAUGGCCAUUUUUAUGAUUUUUUUGUCUUUUUAGGGUUGCAUCACAGCAUAAGGUGGUUCAGUUUUGGCAGACUGUAUGUCUGUAUAAAGCUGUCCAUUUCUUCCAGGUUGUCAAAUUUGUUGGCAUACAAUUGUUCAUAGUAUUCUCUUAUUUUUUUUUGUAUUUCUGCAAUAUCUGUUGUGACUUCUCCUUUUUCAUUUCUGAUUUUGUUUAUUUGUUUUUCUCCUCACCUCUUCUUGGUGAGUCUAGCAGGUUUGUCCAUUUUGUUUACCUUAUCAAAGAACCAGUUCUUGGUUUUAUUGAUUUUUUUUUCUUUUUUUAUAUAUAUCUAAGAGGACUAGUAUCAGAGUUUUUAUUUUAUUUUUUAUUUUUUUUAAUUGUUAUUUUACACAACACAAUUUUUUUUUUCUACUGUACAGCAUGGUGACCCAGUUACACAUACACGUAUACAUUCUUUUUCUCACAUUAUCAUGCUCCAUCAUAAGUGACUAGACAUGGUUCCCAGUGCUACACAGCAGGAUCUCAUUGCUAAUCCACUCCAAAGGCAAUAGUUUGCAUCUAUUAACCCCAAGCUCCCAAUCCACGCCACUACCUCCCCUUCCCCCUUGGCAACCACAAGUCUAUUCUGCAAGUCCAUGAUUUUCUUUUCUGUGGAAGGGUUCAUUUGUGCCAUGUAUUAGAGUCCAGAUAUAAGUGAUUUCAUAUGGUAUUUUUCUGACUUCCUUCACUCAAUAAGAGUCUCUAGAUCCAUCCAUGUCACUGCACAUGGCAUUAUUUUGUUAUUUUUAAUGGCUGGGGAGUAUUCCAUUGUGUAUAUAGACCAUAUCUUCAUAAUCCAAUCAUCUGUUGAUGGACAUUUGAGUUGUUUCCAUGUCUUGGCUAUCGUGAAUAGUGCUGCAAUGAACAUUCGGGUGCAUAUGUCUUUUUCGAGGAAAGUUUUGUCUGGAUAUAUGCCCAAGAGUGGGAUUGCUGGGUCAUAUGGUAGUUCUAUGUAUAGAUUUUUAUCUUUAACUUUUGCCAUUUUUAUUAUAAUAUGUCUUGGUGUGGGCCUAUUUGGGUUCAACUUGCUUGGGGCCCUCUGUGAUUCCUGUAUCUUGAUAUCAGUUUCCUUUAGAUUUGGAAAGUUUUCAGACAUAAUUUCUUCAAAUAUAUUUUCAAUCCCCUUUUAUUUUUCUUCUUCUGGAAUUCCUAUUAUGCUUAGAUUGGCCCACUUUAUAUUAUCCCAUAGAUCUCUUACAUUGUUUUCGUGUUUUUUCAUUUGGCUUUCUGUCUGCUGUCCUGAUUGGGUGAUUUCCAUUAUUCUAUCUUGCAAGUCACUAAUUCAUUCCUCUGCAUUAUUCAUUCUGCUCUUUAGUGCCUUUAGCUCAGUUUGCCUCUCUGCAAAAUGAAUUUUCUAAUUUUUUGGUGUUCUUACUUAUAUUUUCUAGUUCCUUUCUAAAGGAACCUGCAUUACCAUUCAUAUCUGAUCUUAAUGCCUUGAUAUUCAGCCUUAAUUCCCUCAGUAUUUUCACUGUCUCCCUUUUGAACUUAGUGUCUGUCCAACUGUAGAGGUCUAUUUCAUUGUUUGCUGCUUCAGGUGAAUUCUCCUGUUCCUUAAACUGGGAAUGGUUUCUGAGCUUCUUCAUCUUGCUUAUGUUUUCUUUUUCUGUGAGUUUUGGGAAGCCAACCUGUAGUCUUGGAGGGCUACUUCUAUGCAAGGGUGCCCCUUUGUAUUUUGUGUGGGGGUUACUAUUUAUUUUUGCCAUGGAAGUUUGAAUAUUUGCUGUCUCUUUCUUCAGUGUGAGCAGGCUGUCAUCCCCAGGGUGCUGAGUGGGUUUCCAGGGAGGAGGCGGCAAUGGUUAGGGCUAAUAGUAGUCAGUGCCUGUUUGCUGGGCUCUUAACAGCAGCAAGGACCUGCAGGAAGGUAGCACAGGCUACUUCUAGUUCCAGGGCCCUGGGAAGUGUUAAUGAGCCUUAGGAAGAUUUAUUAGGUGUCCAGAGCAUUUGGGAAUGGCAGCAGCAGGGUGUGUGAGUUCCCAGGGAAGUGAGAGCAACAAUAAGUAGUGUUCGAUUGCAAUGCCUUCCUCUGAGGUGAUUGAAGAUGCAAGUGGUGCCUGUUCAGGGACCUCUAGUGGUAGUGGGCCAAGCCCACCUCUGGAGUCAGUGAUAACUGCAGUGGCUUGCCCCUGACACAUGCAGACCAUGCAAGAAGUACCCCGUCUCACUUAGCCCACAUAGGAGGUGCCUCACAGGCUGCUCCUAGUUGCAGUAUCCUGGGAAAUGACAGAGAUCAAGCCUGUCCUGAGCAUUCAGCAGUGGCAGCAGCAGGGCUGGUGUGCUCCCAGGGGUGCAAGAGCAAACAGAUGGUGUUCGGUCACAUUGCCCUUCUCUGUGGUGCCCUUGAGGUGACUGGGGCCACAAGUGGUGCCUGUUCACUGACCCCUAGUGGUGGCGGGCCACGGCCACCUCUAGAGUCAGAGGUAACUGUGGUGGUUUGCUCCUGCCCCAUGCAGACCACACAAGAAGCACCCUGUCCUGCUUAGCCCAUGCAGGAGGUGCUGUACCAGCUACUCCUAGUCAUAUGGUUUUGGGAAGGGACAGUGAUUAAGCAACUGGGCGCUGCCCAGAACAUUUGGCAGUGGCAGCUGCAGGGCAGCUGCAGGGCACAAGGGAGUGAGAGCAAUAACAUGUGGUGCUUGGUUGCAGUGACUUUUUUUUUGUUGUUGUUGACUCCUGAGGUGACUGGGGGGCCACAGGUGGAGCACAUUCACAGGCCCCCAGUGGUAGCAGACCAUGCCUCCCUCUGGCCUCCAAGGUGACUGCCACAGUCUGUCCCUGCUGCCUGUAGAUCACCCAAGAGGCACCAUGUCUCACUAACCCUUCAAACCCCUGCUGCCCUCAGCCCACCAAGAGGUCCCCAGCUACCUGGAGACUGCACAAGAAACACCCAGUCUCCAAUAGUCUAAGCAAGGGGCAUCUCGCCACCCAGAGCCUUCACCAGAGAUGCCCUCUGAAAGUCCAUGUGCACCUGUGCAGGGAGAUUCCUAUGGUGGUCCACCCCUCCUGCUCUUGCCGUCCCCAAUAAUAGCCCCUUGCUUCUGUGGGCCCAGACCUUAUCCUCAGCAACUUUGAGGUCCCUCCAUCUCAGCUGAUCUUCCCAUCAGUUAGGUGGCUUCCCAGGAUGUGGGUUCCUUUUCUGCUUCACAGCUCCCUCCCAAGAAUGCUAGUCCUGUCCUGAUUCCUUUUCUCUCUCUCUCUCUCCCUUUUUUUCUUUUGUUCUACUCAGUUAUGUCAAGAGUUUCUUGCCCUUUUUUGGAGGUUUAACUUCUGCCAGCAUUCAGUAGAUGUUCAGCACGAGUCAUUUCACAUGUAGAUGUGUUUUUUUGAUGUGUUUGUGGGAGAAGGUGAG
rnacentral:lncRNA from 1 species